rnacentral:tRNA from 1 species
CGUAGUGAUGGAACUGGUAGACUUGGUAGACUCAAAAUCUUCUGCCUUUUGGCGUGGCGGUUCGAAUCCGCCCUACGGUA